rnacentral:rRNA from 1 species
AGAGUUUGAUCCUGGCUCAGGACGAACGCUGGCGGCGUGCCUAGUACAUGCAAGUCGAGCGAGCUUGCCUAGAUGAUUUUAGUGCUUGCACUAAAUGAAACUAGAUACAAGCUAGCGACGGACGGGUGAGUAACACGUGGGUAACCUGCCCAAGAGACUGGGAUAACACCUGGAAACAGAUGCUAAUACCGGAUAACAACACUAGACGCAUGUCUAGAGUUUAAAAGAUGGUUCUGCUAUCACUCUUGGAUGGACCUGCGGUGCAUUAGCUAGUUGGUAAGGUAACGGCUUACCAAGGCAAUGAUGCAUAGCCGAGUUGAGAGACUGAUCGGCCACAUUGGGACUGAGACACGGCCCAAACUCCUACGGGAGGCAGCAGUAGGGAAUCUUCCACAAUGGACGCAAGUCUGAUGGAGCAACGCCGCGUGAGUGAAGAAGGGUUUCGGCUCGUAAAGCUCUGUUGGUAGUGAAGAAAGAUAGAGGUAGUAACUGGCCUUUAUUUGACGGUAAUUACCUAGAAAGUCACGGCUAACUACGUGCCAGCAGCCGCGGU